rnacentral:rRNA from 1 species
AGGGUUUGAUCAUGGCUCAGAUUGAACGCUGGCGGAACGCUUUACACAUGCAAGUCGAACGGUAACGAGGAGGAAAGCUUGCUUUCCUCCGUCGACGAGUGGCGAACGGGUGAGUAACACAUCGGAACGUAUCCGCUCGUGGGGGACAACUUCCCGAAAGGGGAGCUAAUACCGCAUGAGAUCCGAGGAUGAAAGAGGGGGACCCUAAUGGGCCUCUCGCGAGCGGAGCGGCCGAUGACUGAUUAGCUAGUUGGUAAGGUAAAGGCUUACCAAGGCGACGAUCAGUAGCUGGUCUGAGAGGACGACCAGCCACACUGGGACUGAGACACGGCCCAG